rnacentral:misc_RNA from 1 species
UGCGGUGGAGAGCAACUUAAAAUCCAUGGGUUGGGAAUCUGACUUCUAGGAAUAAAGAUGUUUUAAUUUAGAAUGAUGACAAAGUAUUAUUUCUCAAGCCUACAUAACAUGGAAUUAUACACANNNNNNNNAGAGGAGGUUGGGGAGUGUGCAUCCUCCACUCCAUGUAGUCAUGACCGGGGCUGAUUUUCAACAACCAGGCUUGCUGUCAUAGAAAUUCAAAAUGAAGACAAU